UGGGUUACGGUUCAGUGGGAGAGAACUUACCCACCAUGUACAAGAUCCUGGGUUCAAUUCCCAGUACCACAA
rnacentral:tRNA from 1 species